ACAGCAAGACCUGAGUCAGAAGAGUUGCCACUGCAACGGAGAGGUGCUGCUGCCGAAUUGCCGCCGGGGCUGCUGCUGGAGCGCCACCCCAAAAACAGCCGGCGUGCAGCCCCUUCAGCAGUGCCGCUCCAGGCACCAGCUUGCUUAGCUGGUGCCUAGAGCCGGCCCUGUGUAAGACAAUCAUUAUCUAGACUUCUUCAGAAAUGGCUUAGACAUGGAACCAUAAGUACCUCCGACAAGGCCUGUGGCAGUGGGAAAGAGGGGAGAAUAAAGGAGCAUGGAGCCUGCAGAGUUCUGCGCUAUUCUCAUGAAUGUUGCAAAUACAGGAUGCAUGAUUCUCCUGUAUUUACAGACCCACAGGAAGUACUGCAACAAUGGGGAACAUGUAGAUUUCUUCGCAGACAGUUUGCUGAGAAACAGAGAAAAAUAAUUCAAGGUUGUUGGUGGCAUUCACAGAGCAGCUGCAGACACAGGAGUGCUGCUUCUGGGGCCGAGAAAUGAGCACUAACUGGUGGAAUCACAUCAUAAUGCAGGUUUAGGAUGAUGAGCAGUGGUUGCAGCAUUUGCAUCCAAAAGGCCACAUUUUUAGAUCUGCGUGCCAAGCUUGUUCCAAUCCACCAGCAUAUGGAUACCAGAAUGAGAGAUCCAUUAACAAUGGAGAAGCAAGAGGUGAUCGCACUCUGGUAGCAAUCCUGUACUGAAAGCUUCCAGUCAGUGGGAAAUCAUUUUGGAGUUGGAAAAUCCUCAGCUACGGUGGAGGCCAUCACCAUGCAAGCAUGUAGGGCCAUUAACCAUCUCCUGCUAAUGCAGGCCUGUAACUCUCAGCAACAUGCAGAGAAUUGGGGGAGGGAUAGCUCAGUGGUUUGAGCAUUGGCCUGCUAAACCCAGGGCCAUUUAGGGAUCUGGGGCAAAAAUUGGGGAUUGGUCCUGCUUUGAGCAGGGAGUUGGACUAGAUGACCUCCUGAGGUCCCUUCCAACCCUGAUAUUCUAUGAAUAAUGGAUGGAUUUUCAAAAGUGGGGUUCCAGAACUGCAGUGGGGCAGCAGACUGCAUAGGCAUGUAUAUCCUUACUUGUGGCAGCAGCCCACUUUUCUACAGAGUAAACCAGGGGU